rnacentral:lncRNA from 1 species
AUGAGGGUCCAGGAGGGAGAGCUUCAGAGGUCACUGGGGGCUAGGGCGCCAGGGCAAGGUGGCACCCACAGCCCCACCUCCUUCCCACACCACCUGGCCUCCCUUAGUGGGACCAGCACCAGACAUGGAGCCCCCAGCGAAGUCUUUAGAUACCCAGACGUCGGGAGGCAGGGAGGCAGGCAAGCUGCCCAGAAGCCUCCACAGACACCCCCUCUUCUCCCGGGGGCAGACAGACGCACACUCUCACUGCACACGCCCCUCGGCAGCCCCACAGCAGCAGUCUGUUCCUCAUUAUGGGCCAAUGCGCCUGUUUACUCACCCAGCUGGAGAUGGUUAGAGAGUGAUAAAUAAUGAAAGAGAAAACAGGCUUUUCCCCUCUGCGGCUUCUAUUUAUGUAACAUGUGUCACAGUGCGCUCACAGACUUUGUUUCGGAGCUGGUUGCAGGAAAUAGUUUAUUUUUUCCGGACGGUGGCUUUAGGAGGUGGGGGUGGGGGGCCAGCGUUGGGGUUUCUGGUCUCACACCCAUGGGAACUUUGGGAUCUAGCUCUCAGAGCCCUCUUCUCCCAGGGCAGACAUCGUGGCUCGAGGUGGCCUCAGAAUAGGGUUCUCCCACCCCACUGAUCUGGAAGGAGCUGGUGGCUGAAGGCGCCUCACAGCUGCCUCUAAACCCUCCCAAACAGAUGGGCUGGUUGUGGGAGCCAGACAGCUGGAGGCUAGGCUCCCUGAGAAGAGGCAGUUGGACACGGAGCUUCCUAGGUAGCGUGCACCUGUUAGGGGAGAGGAUGCAGAAGGAUUCCUUCCAUGAAAUAAGAAUCACAGGACCCCCACUUGGUGUUCACUUAGCACAUUUGAAUCUGGGGGUCUCUCCAAGGCCUCGCAAGGUCUAAUUGCUGCUUCUCAACUGGGUAAUGGGGAGGGGCUUACCACGGUUUGCUCAACUGGUGGGUGAGGAGUCAGGACUUCAGAUUCAUGUCUCUGAUUCCAGAAGAAUCCUCACCCCUGCCUCACCUUCCUUCUCCCAGGAGUACCUCCUUGAUAAAGUUCUGGUCACAUGCAUGCUAAAGAAGGUGGUAGUUGUUAUAAAGGGGUGAGGAGUUGCCGCGUGGGGGAAUAGAAGCCAUCAGGGAUCUGAGAAGCCCCCUCCCUGUCCUGCCCCAGACUUUGUUUCGAAGCAGUGAGCCCCCACCUGAGCCUGUCCCUGAACACCAUGGCCAUGUCCCUGCUUCCUAUGGACAUGGAACUCCAGUGGCACCCCAGGCCACCUGCUGGGGGAACCCAGAGGUACUGCCCUUAAAGGAAUGCAGAGUCUACUAUGGAAGGUAGACUCAGAAGCUCCCAACUCUGGUGGAC